rnacentral:rRNA from 1 species
AUUGAACGCUGGCGGCAGGCCUAACACAUGCAAAUCGAACGGUAACAGGAAGCAGCUUGCUGCUUCGCUGACGAGUGGCGGACGGGUGAGUAAUGUCUGGGAAACUGCCUGAUGGAGGGGGAUAACUACUGGAGACGGUAGCUAAUACCGCAUAACGUCGCAAGACCAAAGAGGGGGACCUUCGGGCCUCUUGCCAUCGGAUGUGCCCAGAUGGGAUUAGCUUGUUGGUGGGGUAACGGCUCACCAAGGCGACGAUCCCUAGCUGGUCUGAGAGGAUGACCAGCCACACUGGAACUGAGACACGGUCCAGACUCCUACGGGAGGCAGCAGUGGGGAAUAUUGCACAAUGGGCGCAAGCCUGAUGCAGCCAUGCCGCGUGUAUGAAGAAGGCCUUCGGGUUGUAAAGUACUUUCAGCGGGGAGGAAGGGAGUAAAGUUAAUACCUUUGCUCAUUGACGUUACCCGCAGAAGAAGCACCGGCUAACUCCGUGCCAGCAGCCGCGGUAAUACGGAGGGUGCAAGCGUUAAUCGGAAUUACUGGGCGUAAAGCGCACGCAGGCGGUUUGUUAAGUCAAAUGUGAAAUCCCCGGGCUCAACCUGGGAACUGCAUCUGAUACUGGCAAGCUUGAGUCUCGUAGAGGGGGGUAGAAUUCCAGGUGUAGCGGUGAAAUGCGUAGAGAUCUGGAGGAAUACCGGUGGCGAAGGCGGCCCCCUGGACGAAGACUGACGCUCAGUGCGAAAGCGUGGGGGGCAAACAGGAUUAGAUACCCUGAUAGUCCACGCCGUAAACGAUGUCGACUUGGAGGUUGUGCCCUUGAGGCGUGGCUUCCGGAGCUAACGCGUUAAGUCGACCGCCUGGGGAGUACGGCCGCAAGGUUAAAACUCAAAUGAAUUGACGGGGGCCCGCACAAGCGGUGGAGCAUGUGGUUUAAUUCGAUGCAACGCGAAGAACCUUACCUGGUCUUGACAUCCACGGAAGUUUUCAGAGAUGAGAAUGUGCCUUCGGGAACCGUGAGACAGGUGCUGCAUGGCUGUCGUCAGCUCGUGUUGUGAAAUGUUGGGUUAAGUCCCGCAACGAGCGCAACCCUUAUCCUUUGUUGCCAGCGGUCCGGCCGGGAACUCAAAGGAGACUGCCAGUGAUAAACUGGAGGAAGGUGGGGAUGACGUCAAGUCAUCAUGGCCCUUACGACCAGGGCUACACACGUGCUACAAUGGCGCAUACAAAGAGAAGCGACCUCGCGAGAGCAAGCGGACCUCAUAAAGUGCGUCGUAGUCCGGAUUGGAGUCUGCAACUCGACUCCAUGAAGUCGGAAUCGCUAGUAAUCGUGGAUCAGAAUGCCACGGUGAAUACGUUCCCGGGCCUUGUACACACCGCCCGUCACACCAUGGGAGUGGGUUGCAAAAGAAGUAGGUAGCUUAACCUUCGGGAGGGCGCUUACCACUUUGUGAUUCAUGACUGGGGUG